AGAAGGCUUCAUAUAUUUCCAUAUAAAAGAAGCCAAAUGCUAAUGGUAAAAAAAAAAAAAGGUGGGGGGAAACCUUGAAGGCAUUUCAUAGCUCCAGUCUAAAUCAUCACCCUCAAGUUCAAAGUUUCACAGAUCUCCAGGGCGAGGUCACCGUGCAGCCACGUUCUUUGCUAAGGUAACAAAAGUAACUUUGACUUCUGUUCUGGUAAAGUGUUUGGAUGCCAAUCAUUCAGUUGUGAUUAUGGGUGGGAAGAGUUGAGAUGGUGCAAAUAAACUUUUUUCUAAUUUUUUAUUUUCAAGACGGAGUCUUUCCCUGUUACCCAGGCUGGAGUGCAGUGGUGCAAUCUCAGCUCCUGCAACCUCUGUCUCCCAGGUUCAAGCAAUUCUCUGCCUCAGCCUUCCUAGUAGCUGGGAUUACAGGUGCCCGCCACCACACCUGGCUUUUUUUUUUUUUUUUUUUUGUACUUUUAGUAGAGACGGGGUUUCACCAUCUUGGCCAGGCUGGUCUUGAACUUCUGACCUCGUGACAUUCCUGCCUCGGCCUCCCAAAGUGCUGGGAUUACAGGCAUGAGCCACCGCACCUGCCUGGUGCAAAGAAACUUUAAAAGUGACAAGGGCCGGGUGCGGUGGCUCAUCCUGUAAUCCCAGCACUUUGAGAGGCUGAGGCAGGCAGAUCACAAGGUCAGGAGUUCAAGAAGAGCCUGGCCAAUAUGGUGAAACCCUGUCUCUACUAAAAAUACAAACCUUAGCUGGGUGUAAUGGUGGGUGCUUGUAGUCUCAGCUACUUGGGAGGCUGAGGCAGGAGAAUCACUUGAACCCGGGAG
rnacentral:lncRNA from 10 species